UACGGAGGGUGCAAGCGUUAUCCGGAUUUACUGGGUUUAAAGGGUGCGCAGGCGGAUAUGUAAGUCAGUGGUGAAAUCUCCGGGCUUAACCCGGAAACUGCCGUUGAUACUAUAUAUCUUGAAUGCUGUGGAGGUAAGCAGAAUAUGUCAUGUAGCGGUGAAAUGCUUAGAGCUGACAUAGAAUUCCUAUUGCGAAGUCAGCUUACUACGCAGAUAUUGACGCUCAUGCACGAAAGCGUGGGGAUCAAACAGG
rnacentral:rRNA from 1 species